UACGGGGGGGGCAAGCGUUGUUCGGAAUUACUGGGCGUAAAGGGCUCGUAGGCGGCCAACUAAGUCAGACGUGAAAUCCCCAGGCUCAACCUGGGAACUGCGUCUGAUACUGGAUGGCUUGAAUCCGGGAGAGGGAUGCAGAAUUCCAGGUGUAGCGGUGAAAUGCGUAGAUAUCUGGAGGAAUACCGGUGGCGAAGGCGGCUUACUGGUCCGGUUCUGACGCUGAGGCGCGAAAGCGUGGGGAGCAAACAGG
rnacentral:rRNA from 1 species